AGUGGGCGAAGGCGGGCUGUCUUGGUCUGUAAACUGACGCUGAGGCUCGAAAAGCAUGGGUAGCGAACAGGAUUAGAUACCCUGGUAGUCCAUGCCGUAAACGAUGAAUGCUAGGUGUUGGAGGGUUUCCGCCCUUCAGUGCCGCAGCUAACGCAUUAAGCAUUCCGCCUGGGGAGUACGACCGCAAGGUUGAAACUCAAAGGAAUUGACGGGGGCCCGCACAAGCGGUGGAGCAUGUGGUUUAAUUCGAAGCAACGCGAAGAACCUUACCAGGUCUUGACAUCUUUUGAUCACCUGAGAGAUCAGGUUUCCCCUUCGGGGGCAAAAUGACAGGUGGUGCAUGGUUGUCGUCAGCUCGUGUCGUGAGAUGUUGGGUUAAGUCCCGCAACGAGCGCAACCCUUAUGACUAGUUGCCAGCAUUUAGUUGGGCACUCUAGUAAGACUGCCGGUGACAAACCGGAGGAAGGUGGGGAUGACGUCAAAUCAUCAUGCCCCUUAUGACCUGGGCUACACACGUGCUACAAUGGAUGGUACAACGAGUUGCGAGACCGCGAGGUCAAGCUAAUCUCUUAAAGCCAUUCUCAGUUCGGACUGUAGGCUGCAACUAGCCUACACGAAGUCGGAAUCGCUGUAAUCGCGGAUCAGCACGCCGCGGUGAAUACGUUCCCGGGCCUCGUACACACCGCCCGUCACA
rnacentral:rRNA from 1 species